AGUAAAAUCUCAGAUUUUGAAUCUGUUAAGCAAAAGCUUGAGUAUUCCUUAUGUGAUCAAUUAAUUAUGUAGUCAAAAUAAAUAUGUAUUAUUGACUUGCAAUCUUUUAUACUUUAUUCGCCCCGUAAAUUCCAUAUCUGUGCCCGACCCUAUGCAGCAUCGCUCUUUGUAUCAUCAGGCAAUAAAGUCUUUUUUAAACAAGAAUUUCAGAUUGAGAAAAGAGAACUGAGAAUCGCAUCGAAGGUACCCGAGAUUCUUACUGCUGGUUCCAAACUAGAAAAUAUCAUUUUUGAAAUUGUCAACUGUGAGGGUAUUGUGGAUGAUACUAUCCACGAUGAAGAGAAAACUGGUCUGUCACAUAUGCUAACAAUAAAGGCUGAUUGGCUUAAUUUGGGAGAGUCUGUCUGGUUCAUGUCAAACCUGCUAUACCAAAUCCAAAAGUGGAGCAUGAUGGAAAAAAGUUCUCCACGGUCAUUGAAAAUAAUAAAAAGGUACAAGCAUACAACUACUAAUUGUCACUUUUACAUUACUUUUCAAAGAAUAUGCAGUUUUUAUCUUGGCACGGA